rnacentral:misc_RNA from 1 species
GAAAAGAAAAAUAAUGCAUAUAUGUCAAACAACAUAGGCAAUAAUCUAGUACUUAUCUUCAACAAAAUUUGGACACCAGUUAACACGUCCAACAAGUGCCUCAAAGUACCAUGUUAAGCAUAAUUAAGGUCAUCUCUUCACAAUGUACACAAAGUACACAGAAAAAUGUUCAGCCCUUGAAAAACCUUAUAAUGUGAUCAACAUCCACACAAAAAAAAAUUUUGCUGUCAUGUCAAAAGUGCCCACAAAUUUGCCUGUGGUAAGAAUCACACCAUCCAGUCCAUUGCCAAGCAAUCCAAGAAAAGAACAAAGAUGAAAAGUAUGCUUGCUAGGCUAGAUGAUAUAACUUAAAUGGCAAUAGCAUUAAUGGACUGGUUACAAAAGGCUAACAAAUUAACAACUAACAACGCCCUUAGCAAGUUGACUGCAUUCCAAUUUAUCUACAUGCCGGUAUAGAUUUUAACUUUAUUAUGUUUUGAAGUUCUAUUAUUAAAGGAAUAACUUACCGGGCAAGUGCUGAAUCCCAUUCU